UCCGGUUUGGCACCGGCAGUCUUCCUAGAGUCCCCGCCAUUACGCGCUGGCAACUAAGAACAGGGGUUGCGCUCGUUGCGGGACUUAACCCAACACCUCACGGCACGAGCUGACGACAGCCGUGCAGCACCUGUAUACCGACCUUGCGGGGACCGCAUCUCUGCGGUUUUCCGGUAUAUGUCAAACCCAGGUAAGGUUCUUCGCGUUGCAUCGAAUUAAUCCGCAUGCUCCACCGCUUGUGCGGACCCCCGCCAAUUCCUUUGAGUUUCAAUCUUGCGAUCGUACUUCCCAGGUGGGAUACUUAAUGCUUUCGCUCAGACACCAACAGUGUAUCGCUGAUGUCGAGUAUCCAUCGUUUAGGGCGUGGACUAC
rnacentral:misc_RNA from 1 species